CAAAAAAUCAAUGAAAUAGAAGGAAAUAAUGGCUAAAAAUGUUUGAAUUAAAUGAUUGUCCCAAUAAUUUCUACCUGGCAUAGAAUCUGCGCUAGGUAAUCCUUUCACAAUUAGUGAUGGUAAACAAUGCUCAGUAAAUUAGUAAACACGGUCAGAGGCUGUCUCAAAACAUAAUCCAAACCACUUGUCUGGGAUAGAGAAGUAAAAUAAAUGUUAGUGAUUCACGGCAAUAUUGGUACUACUCUGCGCACGACUAGUAAAUCGCAUCUAAGAGAAAAUUUUGUUUCUCCAACGAUGAGUCAGAAGUAAAUUAACAGACGAAUAAAAGAUUUGGAGGCCAUGAUUUUAAUUCACCCAGAAAAGCCUUAGAUACCCAAUAAUGUCUAAUUCACACACACUUAUUUCACACAGGGGAUUAUAAUUAUAAUGUUUUUCAAAACCGAAAUAUAUGAUGUACCACAUACACGGAACUGGGAAGUGGAGCCAAUGUAUUGACAAAUUUUCAGACGUUGACUUUCUUGCAGAUAAUUCUACUUACUCAGAUGAAGACAUACAAUAUUGGAGAGAAUUAUGAAACUUAAAGGUAAUACAAUUUUGCUGAGCAAAAAUCCAAUUAUAAUAACGCAGAGGGCCUCGACAUAUUUAAAUUGCAAAGAAACACAUAACUAGUUUGGACAUUGGUAUCUUUUCUGAAGGAAAAGUGCAUCUAGUUGGAUGCGUUAACAGGUCGUCAAACCCGUUACAACAAGAAAAGACAAACUGCUUUGAAAAAAGCUUCAGUGGCUGUUAUUAAAAUUCUUCAACUACCCACAAUGGACAUAAUUGAUGAUGACUUUUUAACUAGGGAUAUUCUGAUAGGUACCUAUUUCCUUUAAUUUGUGUACUUAGUU